CUCACAGAGAUAAACCCAGGUAUAAAAUAAUCCAAUUGCCAUAUGAACUCAGACUAAUUUGUGUUUAUGAGGGACUUAGCAAUAACAAUGGAAUCUGGGAUCCUUGGGACGUCACUACCCUCAACUCCAAAGCUUUCAUUUUUGUUUCUGAGGGACUUUCCAUGCUAAGUACUAUCCAGCAUCCUGGGGAUGUCACUACCCUCAACCCCAAUCGUAUCUAACCUUAAAGCUGCAAUAAAUCACUUUUUUUGUGUGACCGGACCAAAUUCACAUAGAAAUGUGAGUUAAGCGGGAGAUCUGUUAUACAGUAUGUUCACUAUUUCUAUGCUUCCCUUGUUUAAGUAAAUGUUUUGCGUCUUUAACUUUCAGUUUUGAAAAUACAAUGUUUUCGCUUAUGGAGAAGAUAUUUCACAGCGGUUUAGAUGGUACAAUGGUCUCUGCACCAGGUGUUCCCAAACUUUUUAACUCUGACCCCCUUUCCAGCAUUGUGGAACAUCCCGCGCCCCGUCUAUUUCUAUGGGCACAAGCUAUGUGUUUACAUUUUUAUUUUUGUCGAGAGCAAAACGUUUUUCUUUUCAAUCAAAAAUAAUUGUUUUGAAAGCAAAAACGGGGCUUCAAAGUUUAAAAAAAAUGUACAAAUGUGCAAUCAAAUAUUUUUGAUCAUUCCCAAAAAAUAUUUGAGGAACAAAAAAUGUAUUUGAAAACUAAACUCCAAUUUAAUUUCGCAAUCAACCACCCUCCAUUUUGGCUAGACUGCUCUCUUUGCUUGCAGUUCCUCUUUAUUUUUGCUUUUGAAACCUUUUUGUUGUUGAUUGAAACACCAGUUCCUCGUUUGCACUUUUGACCCCACAGCUGUGGGCGGGCUUUAGUGGGAGGUGUGGAGGAUGCUUUUCCAUUGGUCAGGUCAGUAUCAAUAAGGACUGUGUGGUGAUGGCGUCUCAGGUAAGCAGCACUGGGCGGUCUUCCGUCCAACCUCUACAUGGCUAGUAGUUCAGUGAUGCAAACUAGUCACCUUUCUGCGAAAUUCGCGGUUUUGUUAUUCGACACAUUGCCAUUCCUCAAGUUAUAACCCUGGCAAUCUGUGUAAAACAUUAACUAGCUAACGAAAUAACCACUAUCUGUUAACUAAUGUUUUCCCUCUGUAGUUUGUGGUUAAUUUUCAGAAUGAGACAAUUAGGUGAAAAUGAGGCUUUGCUUGAUAAGCAAGUGGAUUCAGGGAUCAAGUGUAGCAGGAGCUGGGCCUGGCUUAUACUGGAUGCCACUAUAGAGAGUGGCAGGUGAAAUAUUUGCAGUGAGUCUUGCACAAGGUGGACCGUCUCCAUGAUUUAUGCAGGAGUGGUUUUACUACUAUCUGUUGACCGGGACCCUGAAGGACCUAACAAAGGAUCAAAGAUGCCUUUGACCUGGCACCCUACACUGAAGGAAUCCUCAACUGUGGCUUCACAGGCCCCAUCAACUUGGAUCACAAGGAGAGCAUGAUAAGAGACAUUUUGCUACAUGCAACCACAAAACGUACGGCGAUGCUUCAGCAGCUGCAUGAAGGCCUUGAAGUCUACAUCCUAAUUGAGGUCCUGCAGAAGAAACCGAAGCCAAUGUCACACAUUGGCCCCAUUAUCUAUAGAAAGACCCUUCUACAAAGUAUUAAGAUAGUUCUAUAUUUAAUUUAAUAAAUUUUGCAAAAA